rnacentral:rRNA from 1 species
AGCGUUCGAUCCUGGCUCAGGAUGAACGCUGGCGGAUGCUUAAACACAUGCAAGUCGAACGGGAGUGGUGUUUCCAGUGGCGAACGGAGUGAGAACGGUAAGAACCUGCCCUGGGAGUUGGAGCAAACAAACUGGAAAACAGGUUGCUAAUAACCCGUAGGAUGAGGAGCAAAAGGAGAAAUCCGCCCCAAAGGAGGGGCUCGCGUAGAUUAGCUAGUUGGUGAGGCCAAUAGCUUACAAAGGCGAUGAUCAGUAGCUUGUCCGAGAGGCUGAUCGCCCACAUGGGAAUGAGCACGGCCCAGACUCCUACGGGAGGCAGCAGUGGGGAAUUUCCGCAUGGCGGAAAAGCCUGACGGAGCAAUGCCGCGUGGAGGUGGAACAUACGGGUCGUCCAACUUCCUUUUCUCGGGAAGAAAACAAUGACGUAUCUGAGGACUACGCAUCGGCUAACCUGUGCCAGCCGCCGCGGUAAAGACAGAGGCUGCAAGCGUUAUCCGGAAUGAUUGGGUAAGCGUUGAGGUGGCUUUUCAAGUCCGCGUCAAAUCCCCGGGCUCAACCCUGGACAGGCGGUGGAAACACCAAAGUGGAGUACGGGAGGGGCAGAGGGAAUUUCCGGUGGAAGAGGUGAAAUGCCUGAGAUCGGAAGAACACCAAACGGCGACAGCACUCUGCUGGGCCGACACACUGACAAUGAGAGACGAAAAGCUAGGGGAAGCAAAUGGGAUUAGCGGGACCACAGUAGUCCUAGCAGUAAACGAUGGAUACUUAGGUGCUGUGCGAUCGGACCCGUGCAGGCUGUAGCUAACGCGUUAGUAUCCGCCUGGUGAGUACGUCGCAAGAAUGAAACUCAAAGGAAUUGGACGGGGGCUCCGCACAAAGCGGUGGAGCAUGUGGUUUAAUUCGAUGCAAGACGAAGAACCUUACCAGGGCUGACAUGCCGCGAAUCCUCUGAAAGAGAGGGGUUGCCCUCGGGGACCGCGGGACACAGGUUGGUGGAUGGCUGUCGUCAGCUCGUGCCGUAAGGUGUUGGGUUUAAGUUAGCACGAGCGGCAACCCUCGUGUUAGUUGCCCACUAUGAGUUGAACCUGAACAGACCGCCGGUGUUAAGCGGAGGAGGAGAGGAUGAGGCCAGUCAUCAGCCCCUUAUGCAUGGGCGACACCCCCCCACGGCUACAACUGGGCGGGAAAAGGGUCGCGUAUCUCGCGAGGGUGAGCUAACUACAAAAACCCGUCCUUCAGUGUCGGAUUGCAGGCUGCAACUCGCCUGCAUGUGAAGCAGGAAUCGCUAGUAAUCGCCGGUCAGCCAUACGGCGGGAAUCCGUCCGGGCCUUGUAAAACCAGCCCGUCAAACUAUAGGAGCUGGCCAGGUUUGAGUCAUUACCCUUAACCUAAGGAGGGGCGAUGCCUAAGGCCUAGGAUGCGACUGGAGUGAAGUGUAACAGGUAGGCCCGUACUGGAAGGUGCGGCUG